UCCGUUAUGGUGUAGUGGCUAACGUUAUCGCCUCUCAUUUAGGUUCCCGAGUUCGACUCGGGAUAGUCCAGGGUUCGAUUCCCUGCAACGGAA